GACAGAGGGUGCAAACGUUGCUCGGAAUCACUGGGCGUAAAGGGCGUGUAGGCGGGAAGGUAAGUCGGGCGUGAAAUCCCUGAGCUCAACUCAGGAACUGCACUCGAAACUACUUUUCUUGAGUGCCGGAGAGGAAAGCGGAAUACCUGGUGUAGAGGUGAAAUUCGUAGAUAUCGGGAGGAACACCAGUGGCGAAGGCGGCGAUCUGGGAAGAUACUGACGCUGAGGUGCGAAAGCGUGGGGAGCAAACAGG
rnacentral:rRNA from 1 species